UGUCCUACGGGCGGCUGCAGUGGGGAGUAUUGGACAAUGGGGGCAACCCUGAUCCAGCAAUGCCGCGUGGGUGAUGAAGGCCUUCGGGUUGUAAAGCCCUUUCGGCGGGGACGAUGAUGACGGUACCCGCAGAAGAAGCCCCGGCUAACUUCGUGCCAGCAGCCGCGGUAAUACGAAGGGGGCUAGCGUUGUUCGGAAUGACUGGGCGUAAAGGGCGCGUAGGCGGCGCAUUUAGUCAGGCGUGAAAGCCCUGGGCUCAACCUAGGAAUUGCGUUUGAUACUGGUGCGCUGGAGUGCGGGAGAGGAUGGUGGAAUUCCCAGUGUAGAGGUGAAAUUCGUAGAUAUUGGGAAGAACACCGGUGGCGAAGGCGGCCAUCUGGACCGUUACUGACGCUGAGGCGCGAAAGCGUGGGGAGCAAACAGGAUUAGAUACCCUAGUAGUCCU
rnacentral:rRNA from 1 species